rnacentral:rRNA from 1 species
UACGAAGGGGGCUAGCGUUGCUCGGAAUCACUGGGCGUAAAGGGUGCGUAGGCGGGUCUUUAAGUCAGGGGUGAAAUCCUGGAGCUCAACUCCAGAACUGCCUUUGAUACUGAAGAUCUUGAGUUCGGGAGAGGUGAGUGGAACUGCGAGUGUAGAGGUGAAAUUCGUAGAUAUUCGCAAGAACACCAGUGGCGAAGGCGGCUCACUGGCCCGAUACUGUCGCUGAGGCACGAAAGCGUGGGGAGCAAACAGG